ensembl:miRNA gga-mir-6710 gga-mir-6710
GAGGUUACCUGUACUCGGUAGCAGACCUGAAGUGAGGUGGGUCUGAGGAUAGAGUGGAUAUUUGUGUAUCAAACUGUUCUCUUCCAUCUAGCCGAGGAGGGAGUUCCAUU